rnacentral:sRNA from 1 species
CCGACGUAGUGCCUGGGCAGCGAGUGCCAC